UCCGAAGCCGGCAGUCUACGCCACGA
rnacentral:piRNA from 1 species